rnacentral:rRNA from 1 species
UACGGGGGGAGCAAGCGUUGUUCGGAUUUACUGGGCGUAAAGGGCGCGUAGGCGGUCGUGACAAGUCACUUGUGAAAUCUCCGGGCUUAACUCCGAAACUGCAUUCCAUACUGCGGUGCUUGAGGACUGGAGAGGAGACUGGAAUUCAUGGUGUAGCAGUGAAAUGCGUAGAGAUCAUGAGGAAGACCAGUGGCGAAGGCGGGUCUCUGGACAGUUCCUGACACUGAGACACGAAGGCCAGGGGAGCAAACGGG